GAAGCACAAACAAAGUAGAUAUGCAAUUUGAAAUCGUGUGCUUAGAUAGGUAGUUGACUGGGCUAGCUCGACAUAUAUUUGAAACAAUUGCUCUUCAGUUUCAGAAGGGACUGGCUGAGGACAAAUGUGGUUAACAAACAAAAAUAAAAUAAAAAAACUGUCGUAGAGGGUAUAUAUAACAAAUGUAGAUAAGGCCUGUCGAUCUAACCCUGGAAUGGUUGGUAGACACAGCAUCUCAUGUGUAAUAGAAAUCAGCUGGGGAUAACUAUACUAAGCUGUACAGCAUAGUAGUACUGAAGACAGUUUCUGGAUUAUGAGUGUAGUUUUAGUAUGUUUUAACCAUAGCAAAAAUCUGCAUAGCAGUGACAUCGUGGGCAUGAUUUUCAAUGAGAUCCAAGCGCUAAGAGCAAACUUAUAAUCUCAAAUGCAGAGUGAAGACAGUAUGAUCUGAAAACACGAUAUGUGAUGGAAUUAGACAGUUUGAAAAAGCAAUUUAGUUUGGUUUGUGUUCUGUUCUGAUGAAUAUAACGCAGUGAAGUCAUUCCUGAAUUUUAGUGUAAAGAUAGAGCAUAAUAGAAAAAUAAAAUUAAUCCCAGGAGGAUAUUUGCCGGCCUGGGGGUGUAUGUUUAUCUGUUUUCAUGGGAAAAUGAUUAGAUCAGAGGAACAGUGCUAAAAAUCUGCUCAUUGGAUUAAAACUGGUUGCUUUUGAUUCGAUAUGUUUGGCAACCUAUAGGUGCUGAGAAUAAUAAUACUGUCUGCAGGGUGUGGAUCGGAGCUGCCGCUCCCGGCAGGACGCCUUAUCCUAGUCGCACGAGCGCCUUUGAGAAGUCAAUACGUGGUUUUGCGGAGAAGUCUGCAUCGGGUACAUUGAUGGAAAGCUAUUUCUUGUACUGCAUAGCUUUAUACAUUGUCGUACCAAACUUGUGAGCUUUAUGGAUAGGCAUGUCUUUGAGAACAAUAAUAUAAUCACAAUUCUGUCCAUACAUAUUUAUUGUUCAUUCUUCUGAAAUUAUGUGGACAAUAUCAGCAUUUUUAUUACUUUACUGUCAUAUCUCAUUAGUUGAUAGUUUAAGUCCACACUGUGUUCACUGCUUUUAUAUCAUGGACAGAUUAUCUAAGAAUUGAGAAGUGAUUUUCUUUUCACAUAAUGUACGUUACUGUUGCACAUGCUUUAUUCACUUAAUGAUCUUGCAGUAUGAAUACCAAUUGAUAGUGAUAAUACUCGUACUUUUGAAAAAUCGUGGUUGGGUAAGGAGGGAUUGUACUUGCCUGGUUGUACGGUGCCAUUCAGUUAUCACUAGUCCAGGUUGACAUCAUUUGUGAAGCAUGAAAGGCAUGAAUCAAUUCUUUUUCAGGAUUCUGGUUUUGUUGACUUAAGUGGGUAUUAUUAGGAGACAGAGCAGUUAAAUUCAGGAACUGUGAUUGUUAAUUAUGUAGUCUUAAUUGUGAUUUACACUGUAAUUAGAGUGAUAAUUCUACAUCUCUGUGCCUUAUUUGACUCUUGUUUAUUGGUAUUUGAUAGAUGAGCAGGAUAGGAAAGGUUACUGAAAAAGGAAGUUUUUUUGCAAGACAAUGGCAUGGCAAAUGAGAGAAAUAUUCAAGUCUGACGGGGAAGUUGAUUUGCAAGAAUCUAGAAUCGGCUAAGCUUGGUUUAAUUUUGUUUAAGAGAUGUCUUUGCACAUGAUGCAUGUAAAAUGCUUUCUAAAUUUUGUGUCAGCUUGAGGUAUUUGAAACUGUACUGAUCUAUUGUUUGUUACCCGUGGAACACUUGUGAAUAUAAUUUUGUCCAAAAAUUUAUAAAAGCCCUGGUUAGAUCAGAAGUGCUGUUCUGCUCCUGGGUGCAUACAC
rnacentral:lncRNA from 1 species